rnacentral:rRNA from 1 species
CCAGCACCCGCGGUAAUUCCAGCUCCAAUAGCGUAUAUUUAAGUUGCUGCAGUUAAAAAGCUCGUAGUUGGAUUUCGGGUGGGCCCUGCCGGUCCGCCGUUUCGGUGUGCACUUGCAGGUCCCACCUUGUUGCCGGGGACGUGUUCCUGGGCUUCACUGUCCGGGACACGGAGUCGGCGAGGUUACUUUGAGUAAAUUAGAGUGUUCAAAGCAGGCCUACGCUCUGAAUACAUUAGCAUGGAAUAACACGAUAGGACUCUGGCCUAUCUUGUUGGUCUGUAGGACCGGAGUAAUGAUUAAGAGGGACAGUCGGGGGCAUUCGUAUUUCAUUGUCAGAGGUGAAAUUCUUGGAUUUAUGAAAGACGAACUACUGCGAAAGCAUUUGCCAAGGAUGUUUUCAUUAAUCAAGAACGAAAGU